GAUGAACGCUAGCGGCAGGCUUAAUACAUGCAAGUCGUGGGGCAGCAUGGUGUAGCAAUACACUGAUGGCGACCGGCAAACGGGUGCGGAACACGUACGCAACCUCCCUCUAACUGGAAGAUAGCCCACCGAAAGGUGGAUUAAUAUUCCAUAACAUAUUGAAGUGGCAUCACUUUAAUAUUAAAGCUCCGGCGGUAAGAGAUGGGCGUGCGUCUGAUUAGGUAGUUGGCGGGGUAACGGCCCACCAAGCCUGCGAUCGGUAGCUGAUGUGAGAGCAUGAUCAGCCACACGGGCACUGAGACACGGGCCCGACUCCUACGGGAGGCAGCAGUAAGGAAUAUUGGUCAAUGGACGCAAGUCUGAACCAGCCAUGCCGCGUGGAGGAUGAAGGUCCUCUGGAUUGUAAACUUCUUUUCUCUGGGACGAAACCCCCGAUUUCCAUCGGGCCUGACGGUACCAGAGGAAUAAGCACCGGCUAACUCCGUGCCAGCAGCCGCGGUAAUACGGAGGGUGCAAGCGUUAUCCGGAUUCACUGGGUUUAAAGGGUGCGUAGGCGGGUUUGUAAGUCAGUGGUGAAAUCCCCGAGCUUAACUUGGGAACUGCCAUUGAUACUGCAAGUCUUGAAUUUUCUGGAGGUAAGCGGAAUAUGUCAUGUAGCGGUGAAAUGCUUAGAUAUGACAUAGAACACCCAUUGCGAAGGCAGCUUACUACGGGAAUAUUGACGCUGAGGCACGAAAGCGUGGGGAUCAAACAGGAUUAGAUACUCUGGUAGUCCACGCCCUAAACGAUGAUUACUCGACAUUAGCGAUAUUACAGUUAGUGUCUAAGCGAAAGCAUUAAGUAAUCCACCUGGGAAGUACGACCGCAAGGUUG
rnacentral:rRNA from 1 species